ACAGCAGUAGCCGCGGUAAUACGGAGGGGGCUAGCGUUGUUCGGAAUUACUGGGCGUAAAGCGCACGUAGGCGGCUUGGUAAGUUAGAGGUGAAAGCCUGGAGCUCAACUCCAGAAUUGCCUUUAAGACUGCCGAGCUAGCAGGUGAGAGAGGUAAGUGGAAUUCCGAGUGUAGAGGUGAAAUUCGUAGAUAUUCGGAAGAACACCAGUGGCGAAGGCGGCUUACUGGCUCAUACUGGACGCUGAGGUGCGAAAGCGUGGGGAGCAAACAGGAUUAGAUACCCGCGUAGUCCCUGUCUCUUAUAC
rnacentral:rRNA from 1 species